GAAUCCCAGUCGCACAAGCAUUGCGUUGUUGCCACGUCGACCAGUCAUCUGAGCGUCCAGCAGCAACAAUGGCCACCAGGGUUGUGCUCUUCACGCUCGCCGUCGUUCUGCUCCUCGCAGCCGGCGAGCUCCCCGUACCUGUCAGCGGCGAAGAGCCCGCGCGCCUGGAUCCCACCUCGGAGCAGCAGCAGAGGAGCGAGGGCGGCAUGCCUGGUGAGUAACUUGCCCCCCUUCUUCGAUUUUCUCCUCCUACAAGCGCCUGGUUAAGCGUUGUUGAUCAAGAACCGUAUGCUUGCUAGUCCCGGUUGCAGGCGGCGCCUCCGCCGGCGACGUGGGAGAGGACAAUAAGGCCUACAUCGUCGGGCGGCCGCUGAUCAAGGUUCCGCCGAGCAGCCCUUGCCGUGCCAAGGCCAUCCGCUGCUGAGAGGACUUCUCCAUCGUUGCUGAGCUACCUUGGUUCCAGCUUGCCACUCCCAUCUCCCCGGGGAAAAUUUGACCAGUAAAUAAAAAAUAGUGCGUGUGCAGAUGUCGCCACCUUAUUGGUGAACUUUUUAUUUUUGGGACGAUGUAUCCUAUGAUGAACUUUGUAAACCAUCUCUGAGCACUACGU
rnacentral:lncRNA from 1 species